AAAGAAAGAAACAUGUCGAUUCCCAGCUGUAGCUUGAGGCUAUUGAUCGACGCUAAGCGCGGAACUGUGUUAUUCGCAGAAACCGCUGAAAAUCUCGCCGCCGUCAUGUACCACAUGCUCUCUUACCCGGAUAACGCCAUCUCCCUCCUCCGGAGACAAGACACGGCGGCGGGCUCUUUAGCGAACCUCUGCAAAAGCAUCCAAAGCGUCGACUACAAAGAAGCGAGCAAUAAGAUUUACUGCUGCCGCAAUUUUUGUUAUUUCGCGUAUUCCGAUGAUCCCUACGCGGUUUGCGUGCGCUGCUUCGGGUACAUGAACACGACAAUGGCGUACGUAUCGCCGCCGCCACUAGCGCCGCCGGCGGGUGGAAGCGGCCGCGAAGGUCCGGUUCACAUAAUCACGGACGAUUUGGAGAUGAUGCCGAUGUCGGCCAUGUCCAUCGUCACUCUCGUCAAGAGGCUCGGCGUCUAAGAUGGGGAUGCCGUGGUGGAGAAGGUGGUGGAUUUCGGCGUCGACGAGGCCAUUAAGGUGGUGAAUGCUUCUCGGGAAUCCAAGAAGGUUCUCACGGAUGUCUUCCUCAAGCCGGAGACCGUAAAAAGUGAAAUUGAAGGCCUAGACGAAUUCGAAUUCGAAUUCGACAUCUGAGCAUUGCAUAACUUGGUGACACAAUGGAAGGGAGAAUCUAGUGUGGAUGAGGACAUGGAAAUGUUUGGAUCAGUGUUAUCCUAAAAUUUUUCUGGAAUAGGUUAUUUCAACUUCUAAAUUUUUUUUCUAUAGUUGUGCAGUUUUAAGUAGAAGAUGCACAAUACUUUAUAUUGUUUGGUAUGUGUAUUCAAUUUGCAUAAAUGUGGCUUGAGAUUAUUAGACACUUUGGAUCAGUAGAGCAACUGAAGUGCAGAAGCAUAGAUGGGGUAUGGAACCAAUUAUUUUUCGAUGUGCUUUUAUUUCGUUGAAAAUAGCAUCACUUGAGGGAUCUACGUAUAAUGUGCUACUUAGCUCAAGUGUUU